AUGGAGUACCAGGGGCAGCACGGCCACGCCACCGACAAGGUGGAGGAGUACGGCCAGCCUGUGGCCGGGCACGGCGGUUUCACCGGCAGGCCCACGGGGACGCACGGCGCGCAGCUCCAGGCGACGAGGGACGACCACAAGACCGACGGCGUCCUUCGCCGCUCCGGCAGCUCCAGCUCCAGCUCGUCCGAGGACGACGGCGUGGGCGGCAGGAGGAAGAAGGGGAUGAAGGAGAAGAUCAAGGAGAAGCUCCCCGGCGGAGCCCACAAGGACGCCACCGCCGGGCAGCAGCACACGGCGGUGGCGGGCGAGUACGCGGGCACGCACGGCACCGAGGCCACCGGCGAGAAGAAGGGCGUCAUGGACAAGAUCAAGGAGAAGCUUCCCGGCGGACAGCACUGA
rnacentral:rRNA from 1 species